ACGGUGGAAGAUUGGGUCGUCGACCUGCGUGUGCUACAAUACAUCGAUUUUGUGGUUUUCGGCGGAUUUCACAGGAUGGCCUUCACACCGAUAGAUCGAGCGCCAAUUAUUGCGCUCGUUGAGAGAUGGAGACAGGAGACUCACUCCUUCCAUCUACCAGUUGGGGAGGCCACCGUCACGCUCCGAGAUGUGGCGAUACUUACACGGCUCCCAAUACAUGGUAGGGUAGUUACAGGGCCCAUUAUACAGGACCCUCGUGGCCUUGUUGAGAGAAUGUUAGGGGUGAGGCUUGAGGCCACUGAUAUUAGAGGCAAAGGGCGUUACGAGAGACAUUUGGGGAGUUGCCUCCUGAUGCUGAUGAUGGGGUCGUCUAGAGAUACGCUCGAGCGUACCUGUUCAUGUUGAUAGGAUCAUUGUUUAGUAACAAGAGUGGUAGUCACAUAUAGUUGAUCUACCUACGGGUGUUAGAGAACAAGUGGGAGGGUAUACGUGACUACAGCUGGGGUAGUGCGUUUCUGACAACCUUGUAUCGACAUCUUUGCAGAGCAUCCCAGCGAGGUAGAUGGGAGAUCGGCGGUCCCUUGAUUGUGCUUCAGGUAGCCCUUUACUUUCAUACCAUUUUCUACCUAUUACGUACUUAACGGUGGCUAGACUUAACUUGUGUUUGUUUAUUACAAUUAUGGGCUUGGGAGCACAUCCACGUUGGUAGGCCAGCUAAGCCUGCUAGUCGUCGACGCUAGAAGGAGGAAGACGAUCAAGAGCAUGCAUAUGAGGCGCCGCCACUCCCUCCACCAGACUUGGCAUACGGUUGCCGGUGGCUGGUGCGGAGACUUACUCGUGUGCAUGCAACGAGGGGUCUGCCGUAUUACAGAGAUGCAUUCGACAGACUGAGCGAGUCUCAGAUGACGUGGGAUCCGUAUGUCCCUGACCUAGUCAAUGCCAUGCCUCAAUACCUUCGUGAUCAUCAGAUGGAGUGGCGUGUCAUGACAGUUCUCAUCUGUUUUGAGGUAGUGGAGGCUCACCUCCCCGAUAGGGUCAUGCGACAGCUCGGCCUUUGUCAGGCCGUCCCUGCCUCGUGUAACACUAGUGUCCAGUUGCACAGGACAGAUCGACGAGGAAAGGGGGACGUGAACUGGGCAGUUCAGCAUGCCCCUUUCAUUGACAUGUAGGACCAGCGGUUGCAGCACGUCGCGGAUGGUGCGCCUUUCCAAGGCGUGAUGGAGUAUCACGGUCCAUACAUGGUAUGGUACAGGAAAAUUACCCGACGCUUCAUCAACCCUAACUACACCCCACCCUCAACGCAUUACCAGCCAGCUUUUGGAGACAUCAGUGGAUAUGCGUUUGAUAUGCUUGCUAUACAUGACGCAGUGGAAGUCUUGAGCAUAUCAUAUCCCACCAUACCACAGUUGGAUGAAAUUCAGGCAAUGACUGUGAGUAGCUUAUAGAGACAUGGUCAUGGCCACCUUAUCCAGGGUCGGGACCAAUCACACCGCCGUUCACACCGUCUUAGAACUUCUUCUGUUAGUUUGUUGUAAUCAGAUUCUCUAGUACAUUAUAUCCAAACAAAUAUUAUCAAUUUUACUGACCUUUUUAGUUGAUUUUCUGUA